CAAAGGAGGAAACGGAGGGGGAAGGCCCAGUGGGUGAGGACUCAUAGUUGGUAAACAAAGCCAGAAGGCCUGCCUGGCUCCAGAAGGCAGGCCCUGAGCCCUUGGAGGACAGCAGUGACCCGGAGUUCUUUUCCUGCCAAGUGGUCCCUGGGGAGGCCAAGAGGUCCCUGAGGGCAGAGGCUGGUGGUAGGAAGUCCAAUGAGGCUGCUCCUGCUGAGCUGGACCCCAGAACACUGAACCUGAGGCUCCAUGCCCAACCUGGAGCUUGGAAUCACAGCCCUGAGAUGGAGAGUUGCACGCUUUAUCGACUGAGCCAGCCAGGCGCCCUGAGUGAUACCUCAGGAAAGCUGUUGGAAGGAACGAGAAAUAAGGUUCUUACUUCUCAAGUCCUCUCCUCUGAGAUCCCAGCCAGACCCUUGGUCCUCCACUGUCACCUUCACCAGGGACCACUCUAUGUGGGUUGUGUGAGGCCUGACUUCCUCUCGACCUCACGACCUUCCUCCUGGACGUCUGCCCCUCGCUUCACUCGGGCACCUGGUACGGCCCUUAGAGAGGACCCCUGUUCACCUGUUCAUCUCCCGGAGCUCACCGCCCCCUCCCUGCCCCCUGCUCUUUUGGUUUGGACUGACCAGCCCGGCCUUCACCCAGGGACCCUAGAACCACUCGGCCCACCGGCCCUACCAAAGGCAGACGGCCGGGAGCUGCUGCCCACACGCCGCCUGCCGUGGCUCCCCUUGCGGCCUCUCGAGGCGUGAGGGCCGAGCAGCCUCGCAGGAUGUUUGCCGACCUGAAUCAAAAUGGAAAAAACAGCCCCGGAAGAUCUGGGCCCGAGCCGCGAGACUUUGGCUUCGGUGGUGUGACCUGCUUUGGCUGACGGGAGAAGAGGAAACACGGUGCAGGUAGAAACUCGAGCAGCGCCUGGGCUUCGUGUCUCUUAGAGCAGUUGGGGCCUGGAGACCACCGGGGAAGGAGCCCAGGCGAGCUUGGUGCGGGAUGAGAGGCCUCCUGGGGCAGAACUCGGACCUGCCAGCUGCCGGCUGCCAGGCAUGAGCCGGGCCCUUACUGCCCUCUGACCGCAGACACGCAUCCAGGUCCAGCCAAACCCAACAGAACUGUCCGUCCGAGCCCAGCCCCAUCGCCGAGCCACUAACUGUAAAGCUAAUAAAUACUUGUUCCA